CAAAUGUCACAAUUAUUUUUUUAAAUUAUAUAAUUGGAGAAUCAUCUUUAGAAUUUUCUGCCAUUUUAUUCCCUUUUUAUGUUCUUCAAAAGGAAUAAACCCCAAGUAAGUGCUAGUAAAGUGAAGUGAGGAGAAGAGGAAGAGAAGGGAUAAUAGAGGAGGAACGACAACAAAGACGAAGAGGAAGAAAAAGUUUUCUUUGUGAAGCCAGGAAGGAAACACUGCCAAGGAAUGAAAGGAUGAGAGAGGGGGGUCAGGUUCUUUAACCUUCCUUUCUUCUUGCUCAGGCCCUGUGUUAGGCUCAGCUGCUGAGCAACACACCCUGCCUGAAGGUCCUUUCUGACCCAACAUGGCCCUCACACAAAGACUUUGUCCAUCAUUGAAAGCAAUCUUCCCACAGAAUGCAAAGUUCUCCAGGAAUUUGCCUUCACUUUGUUAAAGUGUCAACUGUGUUGCGAUCUCAGAGGCAGAGAACGCUGUUUAUUUGGAGGUUAAAACUUCUAAUUAACAAACAAGCAACAAAACACACAGGUUCAUUGUGGUCAGAUAAUAGAUUAAGUGUUUAGUUACUUAGAGGGAGCCCGUGUCAUGGCGUCAGCCCCUCCCCAACCUGUUGACACUUCCUCCAGAUGGUGUCUACAGCGUUUAACUGAACAUGUGGGAAAUAAACCGAUUGUGUGUAAUAGUUAGUAACUCUGCAUCAGACAUCAGCAUGUCUGAUGCAGAGUUUUCAGCACAUUUUCAGCAUGUGAUAAUGCAUAUUUAAUUCUUAAUGAGAAAAAUGAAUGUAAUGUAGAAUAUACAUUUUUUCUCAAUUCUUCAAACUAGAGCAAGUUCUAAUGAGGUCUAGGGUGCCAUGCGUGGCCCUAAGAAUUAGUUUGUACGGCUCCUGUGUUUUCAAAUUAGGUUUCCAUGGCAAGUUUAGAUCUGUCUAAAUGGAAGAUAAGUAAGUGUUAAGUACCACACAAAGAUUUUUUUCGUCCUCUUUUUGUUCUCUUUUCAAUUCAUAGAAAGACACCCUGAAAAUCCUGCUACUCUUUACUCAGAAACACACUUGGGCUCAUUCACCCAUCACACUGGCUGAACAUAGUCAAGAUCUUAAAAAGAAGAUUCCUGUUUUUGCUGCUGGAAAUGAACUAAAAGCAUUUUAUUGACCAAAAAACAGAAAACAACUGGCCCAAAAAACUGUAAACAUUACAGCAAAUGUCACACUAAUGUUGGUUUUAUGAAAAUAUUGCCUGUUUAAAUCAUUACUGUGCAUUCGUGUUGCUCUACUUUUAAUCGCUGGACAUUUGGAAUGCGGACUGAACGGCUUCAUUCAUUUUCUCUACUGUUCUUCCUAAACUGCAGACUGCAAUUCUAAAACAGCGCAGAAAAUCAACAUUUACAAUGUUUCCUUCUGUUCCCUGAAAGGCCCGAAUGAAAUUCAUCUUGAGAAACUAAUCUCAAUGGGAGAAGCACCAAGGGGUGAUGAGAAUCAAUCAAUCAAUCAAUCAAUCAAUCAAUCAAUCAAUCAAUCAAUCAAUCAAUCAAUCAAUCAAUCAAUCAAUCAAUCAAUCAAUCAAUCAAUCAAUCAAUCAAUCAUUCAAUCAAUCAAGUUUAUUUGUUCAGCACAUUUCAGCAACAUAAAACAUAUAAAUACAUAAUUUAGUCACCAGUUCCAAAACCAAUAACGAUUAUUUCUGGCAAUUGUCAGGCUGCAUUUUAUGGUCAAAAAUUAGUUUUUGACCAGUAGAGUCUUAACAUAAUAUAUAUUUUUAUGAAUUCCUCUGAUUACCUAAAACUAAAGUCAAACUCCAUGGUUUAAGUUUCGGGAGUGGGAAAUGCUUUGUUUCCGGGUGUGUGACAGAACUGAACUGACCUAACGCUGCUCUGUUGAGUCUGCAGCCAUGUGAACGGUCUGAUGUUGGACAGUCCAGCUUCUAUGUCUCUGCUGUACCCUCUGCCCUCCAUCCUCUCUUUACAUAGAUUAAGAUAGCCGGGUCAGCCCCUCCCUCACCUCCCACCACCCAGUAGGGGGGUUAAUUGAGAUCAGCAGGGGGAGCACACGUCUGAUUGACAUGGCCGACGGGGACCGAGGCGAUGGCUUUUUACCGGGGCCUGUUGUUCAUUUUAAUUGUUGUCUCAGCUCUUUGUCGUCGGGUGGAGACCCGGAGGGCAGGAAGACAAGAGGGAUGGACGGGGGGAGAGUAGAUGGGAGCGGAGGGAGUGGACACUGGUGAUUUACAUUAACAUGUAGUGAAAUAAACAAGCAGAGAAGUCAAGCGUUAAAUCAACUUGGAGAGAGAGAGACUGAGAGAAAGGCUCCAGGGUGAGAGGGGAACAGAGAGGAGGAGAAUGUGUAUGUGCUCCAAAACAAACGCUCUGUUUUAUUGUUCUAUUAGCGCGCACUGAAUUUCCAUGCAGAAAAGCACACACACACGCACACACGCGCACCUACACACACACAGGCAUGCUGUCAGAUUUGAACGUCUAGUCUCUGUUUUCUUUCUCGAGUAUUUUAGUAUUCUAAUCCAUCACUGGCCUGACAUGGGGAUGCUGUUUCCCUCUCUUCCUCCAUGCUGCUGCUCAUACACGGCAUCCGAACGGAAGAUAAAGGCAGAGCAGAGGGAAAAACAAACUCCACAGCAGGGAGAGCUUUAUCCAGACAGAUAAAGCGGUGGAAUAAAGCAGCGACGUAGAGAUACAGUGGAAGUGGAAGAUGUGGAAGGACAGCAGAAACAGGGGAAGUAAGCGACUGAAGAGGGAGAGGAUGAGUGAAAGGGUGGAGAUGAGAGAGGGGAAAACAGAGAAAGAGUAGAAAAUCAAGGCAGAAACAGAUUGUGCGUGUGAGUGUGUGUAGCAAUGAGUUGCGGCUGAAGUCUGAACCUCCCUGCUCCAUUUCACACUCUGUAGGUCCUGACGCAUCAGUGCUAGAAGACACACAAACUGUCAUCCAUACACACACACACACACACCCACACACACACACACACAAAGACUGCGUCCUUCCUUUUUGAUUUCACAUCCACAAAAACAUACUUACUGUGAUUUCUGAAUCAUUCAUAUGAAUAAAGACAGAAUCACAGACACACAGUCCUGCAGCUUUAACCCUCUGGAUUUGAGAGAGGAGUUCCCUCUGGAAGUCAGAGCAUUUUUUUAAGGCACUUAUGUGAUUGCUCAUGUACAGAGCUGCUACACAACUAAACUUAUGACACUAAUAUACUGUAAAUUACAUUACAAUAAAACACCCUCAGCAUUGCUGAUUUGAUUGCUUUAUUUUUUACUUUAGUUGCCGCGGUGAAGUUUUGUCCUGCGUCAGAUCAUCUCCUGUGGAGAACAGGAAUUAAAGAUGUUAUUUAUCUAUUAUUACAAAAGUAUAUUUGUAAAUUUAUUUUAAAAAACCCAAAUAAACUUUGACAUCGUUUACUAUUUUGGGCAUUACACAAAGCAUUAUAUUUUACUAGUCUCAUAACAUUUUAUGUUUUUGGUUUUUCUUUGGCCGAUCUUUGUAAAUUGAGUUGAAGUAGAUUUAAAAUACAUACAAAAAAAAUUAUAAAAUUUACCAGUAAUAAUACCCAUUAGUGGGUGAACUUCCACUAAUCCAACAAUGUGCUCCUAGUGGAGCUAAUUUCUUGUUUAGCACUUCAAUGCUUUUAGCUUUGAAAAUGUUUAGUGCAUCUAAACACAAAUGUAUAUGGAAACAUUUAGAUUUUACAAUCUAAAUGUUUCCAUAUAGAUCCUAAAACUCUGAUUUACUGGACUCUUUUGUAAUAUUUCAUUUGAAUAAAGGACAGCAAGUUAAAAAAUCUUGAAAUAGUUGGAUAUUUACACUCAUACUCUUAUUUUGAAGUGGUUGAACACUGUACACAUCAACUUUGUUUCCGCUCACGUUUUUUCCCCUUUUUUUGAACUUUGAUUGAAUUUAUAUUGACUCAAAUCAAAUUCAAAUCCAGUGUUAUUUUUUGAUGGGUUUUUUUCCUGUGGUGUCAGUUAGCCGCAGUCAGCUAGCACUGAAUGUAGCACCACUUCUCCAUGUAACAACCACUGUGGAGACAAGUCAGAAUUAGCGCCUUAAAUAAAUGAGAUGAAACUUCAGAGGGAUGUAAAAAACAACCUUAAAGCUUGUUAUUAUGAAUUACUUCUGCUCAUACUGUAGCAAGACUGUAGCAGUAAACCCCAGAAUGUAUCGUGACCUGUAUUUGUUAUGAAUGAAGUGUUUUUUUUGUGUUAAGUCUUUGAUCAGUGUGUUACCGUUCUGUUCCGGCUCGGUUCUUAAUGUAUGAAAUGCUUCGACAUGCACAGGUUUGGUUCAGUAACAACAGUUAACGGAUCUAUCAAGCACCGUCUAUUAUCAAUUCAGACAACAAUUUGUGUAAAAAAAAAAAAGAAAAAGUGGAUUGUGUGCUGUAUGUUGUUAUUUUACCCUUCAUUCAUUAGCAUUUCUGGUAGUAUAUUCAUAUAUCCUCACACCUAUAUGAGAAUAUUGAUGCUGCUAACGGAGUCUCCAGUCAUCUCAUGCUGACUCUGAGUGGGAUCAGCUUUGAACAUUUAAAGAGACGGUGCAGGACAAGACGUGGAGCUGGAGGCCCUCACACGCCUCCUGAACUCUCAGAAAGACUCUGUCCUUCGUCCCACAUGGAUCGCUAUUUGAGAUAUCUGCGUGGUGUUUUUUUGUCUCUUUAGCUGAAUGUUGUUGUUUUGUUUUUUUCAGCCGUAACAGAUGCACAAUCCUUUUACUGUCUGCAAUUCGUUGCCAUGGAUACCCGUGGCUCACCUAGGCUGCUGCACCCCGGGUGAUCCCAAAAGCUCUUAUCCCGGCAGGUGCCUGGCUGAAUGGGACAUCAUCGCUGCGGAGAUUGAGGCGAUGACACACACACAUGCACACACACCAAGCAAGAGAGCACAAACAUGGGCUCAAACAGUCACAGACUUGGAAAUGAGGCUGGCUUUCAUGAGUGAGCGGCUGCAGUUUCAAAAGUCGUCUCCCCCAAACAGAGACAGUCACUGGAGGGGAACCCUGUAGAGACGGACAAAUCCCCACCUCCCCUCACCCGUCACCCCUGUUUGAGUCUGUCACCUGUUAACCUUUGCUAAUUCUACACUGAAGCCAGAAACUGUUCCAUCUAAAUGCUUUUGAAGAACAUUGACCGCUGCCACCUCCAUCCCACUGCCCCCGGCUUCCUGUCUACAGCAUGUCAGUAUUCAGUACGAGGGAGUCGGAGCCCACAGGACGGCCUCUCCCGCUCUGUUCCAUGUUAGUGUGUUAUUUUCUUAUGCUCUGCCGGGCCUGUGCUUUAUUUUGCCUGUUCAAACUGUUGAUGACUGUUUCAUAAGCACACAAACCUCAACAGACCCUCUGGCACACACAUAGGGAGAAGACUGCAAAAAAGAGAUGGAAGCGCUGGCCCUGGUUGCUACAGAUCAGAGGGUUUCCAAGCUGUGUUGUUUUAAAAACUUGGUAUCUCAGUGAGUAUAUAUGUGGCCUCGCAUGAAAUAUUUCAAUUUCCGAUCAUCCGGUGUCAUUUUGUCCCACUGAAUGUGCCCAGAGGGAAUAUGAAGCACUCCAUGCCUCUGCUGUAUUCACCUGUGAAUAAUAAAAUAAAUGUACAAGCUGACCUUUCUUUA